AGAGUUUGAUCCUGGCUCAGGAUGAACGCUGGCGGCAUGCCUAAUACAUGCAAGUCGAACGAGAGGAAGGAAAGCUUGCUUUUCUGAAUCUAGUGGCGAACGGGUGAGUAACACGUAGGUAACCUGCCCAUGUGCCCGGGAUAACUUCUGGAAACGGAUGCUAAAACCGGAUAGGUAGCAGACAAGCAUUUGACUGCUAUUAAAGUGGCUAAGGCCAUGAACAUGGAUGGACCUGCGGUGCAUUAGCUAGUUGGUGAGGUAACGGCCCACCAAGGCGACGAUGCAUAGCCGGCCUGAGAGGGCGGACGGCCACAUUGGGACUGAGACACGGCCCAAACUCCUACGGGAGGCAGCAGUAGGGAAUUUUCGUCAAUGGGGGGAACCCUGAACGAGCAAUGCCGCGUGAGUGAGGAAGGUCUUCGGAUCGUAAAGCUCUGUUGUAAGAGAAAAACGACAUUCAUAGGGAAUGAUGAGUGAGUGAUGGUAUCUUACCAGAAAGUCACGGCUAACUACGUGCCAGCAGCCGCGGUAAUACGUAGGUGGCGAGCGUUAUCCGGAAUGAUUGGGCGUAAAGGGUGCGUAGGUGGCAGAUCAAGUCUGGAGUAAAAGGUAUGGGCUCAACCCGUACUGGCUCUGGAAACUGUUCAGCUAGAGAACAGAAGAGGACGGCGGAACUCCAUGUGUAGCGGUAAAAUGCGUAGAUAUAUGGAAGAACACCGGUGGCGAAGGCGGCCGUCUGGUCUGUUGCUGACACUGAAGCACGAAAGCGUGGGGAGCAAAUAGGAUUAGAUACCCUAGUAGUCCACGCCGUAAACGAUGAGAACUAGGUGUUGGGGGAAUAACUCAGUGCCGCAGUUAACGCAGUAAGUUCUCCGCCUGGGGAGUAUGCACGCAAGU
rnacentral:rRNA from 1 species